rnacentral:rRNA from 1 species
AACCCCUGCAUUCAGUUGCCAACGGUAAGCGGGCAUCUGGAUGGACUGCCGGCGACAAGCCGGAGGAAGGUGGGGAUGACGUCAAGUCAUCAUGGCCCUUAUGUCCAGGGCGACACACGUGCUACAAUGGCCGGCACAGCGGGAAGCGAGGGGCGACCUUGAGCGGAUCCCUCAAAGCCGGUCUCAGUUCGGAUUGCAGUCUGCAACUCGACUGCAUGAAGUUGGAAUCGCUAGUAAUCGUGGAUCAGCCAAGCCGCGGUGAAUACGUUCCCGGGCCUU